GACGAACGCUGGCGGCGCGCUUAACACAUGCAAGUCGAACGGAAAGGCCUGCUUUCCCUUGUGGAUUGCGGGUACUCGAGUGGCGAACGGGUGAGUAACACGUGAGUGAUCUGCCCCCAACUUGGGUAUAAGCCUGGGAAACUGGGUCUAAUUCCCGAUAGGACUGCAGGGUGGUGCCUGUGGUGGCAAACGAUUUUCUAGUGGUUGGGGAUGAGCUCGCGGCCUAUCAGCUUGUUGGUGGGGUAAUGGCCUACCAAGGCGGCGACGGGUAGCCGGCCGGAGAGGGUGGACGGCCACAUUGAGACUGGGAUACGGCCCAGACUCCUGCGGGAGGCAGCAGUGGGGAAUAUAGCACAAUGGGCGGAAGCCUGAUGCAGCGACGCCGCGUGGGGGAUGACGGCCUUCGGGUUGUAAACUCCUUUCGACCGCGAGGAAGCCACCUGGUUGGAAGGGUGGUGACGGUAAUGGUAGAAGAAGCACCGGCUAACUACGUG
rnacentral:rRNA from 1 species